UACGUAGGGAGCAAGCGUUGUCCGGAAUCAUUGGGCGUAAAGCGCGCGUAGGUGGCCUCAUAAGUCCGCUGUGAAAAGUCAAAGGCCUCAACCUUUGAAAGCCGGUGGAUACUGUGGGGCUAGAGUACGGAAGAGGCGAGUGGAAUUCCUGGUGUAGCGGUGGAAUGCGCAGAUAUCAGGAGGAACACCAAUAGCGAAGGCAGCUCGCUGGGACGUUACUGACACUGAGGCGCGAAAGCGUGGGGAGCGAACAGG
rnacentral:rRNA from 1 species